GACGAACGCUGGCGGCGUGCUUAACACAUGCAAGUCGAACGGAAAGGCCCUGCUUUUGUGGGGUGCUCGAGUGGCGAACGGGUGAGUAACACGUGAGUAACCUGCCCUUGACUUUGGGAUAACUUCAGGAAACUGGGGCUAAUACCGGAUAGGAGCUCCUGCUGCAUGGUGGGGGUUGGAAAGUUUCGGCGGUUGGGGAUGGACUCGCGGCCUAUCAGCUUGUUGGUGGGGUAGUGGCUUACCAAGGCUUUGACAGGUAGCCGGCCUGAGAGGGGGACCGGCCACAUUGGGACUGAGAUACGGCCCAGACUCCUACGGGAGGCAGCAGUGGGGAAUAUUGCACAAUGGGCGGAAGCCUGAUGCAGCAACGCCGCGUGCGGGAUGACGGCCUUCGGGUUGUAAACCGCUUUCGCCUGUGACGAAGCGUGAGUGACGGUAAUGGGUAAAGAAGCACCGGCUAACUACGUG
rnacentral:rRNA from 1 species